UACGUAGGGGGGCUAGCGUUUGUCCGGAAUCAUUGGGCGUAAAGCGCGCGUAGGCGGCCAGAUAAGUCCGGUGUGAAAAGUCACAGGCUCAACCUGUGAAUGCCGCUGGAAACUGUCUGGCUAGAGUCCGGAAGGGGCGAGUGGAAUUCCUGGUGUAGCGGUGAAAAUGCGCAGAUAUCAGGAGGAACACCAUGCGAAGGCAG
rnacentral:rRNA from 1 species